GCCUUCGUGGUGUAGUGGUCAGUACGCUGGGCAUAUAUUCCAGAGGUUAAUGGUUCGAGUCCCGGCGAAGGCG
rnacentral:tRNA from 1 species